AUUUAAAACAAAUCUCGAUAAGCUUUGGCGACCCAACCGCUUUGACAUAUCAUCAAUAUACUAAGACAAAGUUACUGAGAUACAAACCCGGAAGUGGAGACAGUUUACUGAAGAAGAUGCAAGGGUAUCUAUUUAGCCUUCGGGGCUAUAAAAUUGCCCUUACAGACCAAGUCUUGACAUUGAGGUCCUCGGUGAAAGGAAAUUUCCUUUGCUGCUUAUUGAGAGGCGACAAGGACUGAGGCGGGGUUGACGUUUGUGUGCCAUCCAUGUCUUCAGCCACCCAUCACGAAUAAACAUCCCGACAUACCAACAUUAGAACGGACGAUGCCAGUGGAAGAAAACCAAACCACGAUGUCCUCUCUACAGCCCAAUGUUUUACCAGACGACUCAGCGUAUAUACAACAGACACAUUGAGCGAAAAUGACACCACCGCACUGCAGAUGAGCGUAGUUGAUUUGAAUACAACCAGAGAUCAGUUACAGCUUUCAGACAUCAGCGACAAUGUCCUAACAGAGUUGAAUUCUACAGCAAGCCACAUCUGCCGAGCCAUCGGUAAGCUGGCAGAGACGGCAACAACUGAAUCAACCGUACACUUACAGCCUAUAUGGACGCACAGUGGAUGAUGAAUCCCGUCUCUGCAGUUGAGGAAUGAUCCGUUUUCAGACAGAACAUCGAUGUCAAGAGGAUGGAUGCAACAAGAGCAUUUAAUGGCUCAGCCGCAUUCCUAGAGUUAUUGGUGCAAUAUAUUGUACCUUGGUCCCCAUUAUCAUCCAGACCGGCAAUGAGGCAUCCUAUUUCUGAAGGAAGGAGUAUCACGCCUUGAACAUUCAAGCAGUUUUGAACAAUAAGUUGAGAUUCCUUGAAGUUGUGGCGCAAUGGUAUGGAGCCACAAACGAUGCCGCCAUAUUCUUACUAGUAUGAGAUGUCUGGUUUAAAGGCUCAUCUGGAGGCAAAUGAAGCUGGGGUGUUGCUGCGAUACUCAGGUUCUGCUCUUAUAAAUAACUUACUGACAUCCAUCCUCAGACUGCUUAGAUUGCAUACUAUGAUGUCGAUGCCAUGGGUGGUUUGGUAAUGGAUUUGGCUUUUGGCCUGCUUAUGUCACGCUUGAGAUAUCUGCACAGAAGCGGAGGCUGGCUGAUGUUUUCACCAGGUUAAUUGCAGUAGAUUGUCAUCACCUGCAUGAAACUACACAAUGUGUGCAUUGACAAUAGUCUAGAUUUCAAGGGCUGAAAAUGACAAUAACACUCAACCACUGGUGCAAGUUGGCCACGCGCACCAUCAUACUUGUCAAUGUUAACCUUAUUGAUAAAUUACUUAAAGUGACACUCCUAUUCAAAAUUAAUACAUACACAUGUAUAACAAACAACCAUUAUGACUGCUAAACAUUUAACUACUUACUUAAUCAUGCAUUUGUGGAAAAUAUUAAUUACUAAUAACAAUAUUGAAACCAUGUAUUUGAUAGCAGAAAGCACAAAAAUAUUAAAUAAUUGGUGAAUGCUUGAAGAUUUACUAUGUUAUACUAUAGUUUCAUUUGGUAGAAAUAUCGUGUUUUCUUUGAAAUUAAACUCGGUAUCCUUCAUAAGAGCCAUUGUUUUCGACAUUUAUUCAUCCUUUUUGGAACAUCAACAAAAAUCUUAUUAAUUUUGGUAAAAUGUAUUUGGGAGUAACAGUGCAUCUUUUAACAUACCAACAUUGAUUGAGGUAAAAUCAUUGUUAAGGUGUUGUUGUCGGGCGUAACUAGAAGUAUGUUUAAGAUAUUCAAAUAAAACUCGUUAAACUGUUGCCAGAGACAAUGUGCACAUGAUUGUUGAAUAAUGCUCCUUUAAUGAAUCAACUAACUCUCUGUUGCAUUUGCUAAGAGGUGGAAUCAUGUCCCUUUAAGGAAUGAAUUGACAAAUGGUUCCAUUCGCUCUAAGGCGGAAGGCGGAAUGUGCCACUUUAAUGAAUGAGCUGACAAUCGGUUGCAUACGCUCUGAAGCAGAAUCACGCCCCUUUAAUGACAGAACCGACUCUGGGUUGCAUUUACUCUGAAGUGGAAUCACGCCCCUUUAAUAAAUAAACUGACUGGGUUGCAUUCGCUCUGAAGCAGAAUCACGCCCCUUUAAGAAAUGAGCUGACAAUCUGUUGCAUACGCUCUGAAGCGGAAGUAUGCCCCUUUUAUGAAUGAACCGACUCUGGGUUGCAUUCACUCUGAAGUGGAAUCACGCCCCUUUAAUAAAUAAACUGACUGGGUUGCAUUCGCUCUGAAGCAGAAUCACGCCCCUUUAAGAAAUGAGCUGACAAUCUGUUGCAUACGCUCUGAAGCGGAAGUAUGCCCCUUUAAUGAAUGAACUGACUCUGGGUUGCAUUUACUCUAAAGUGGAAUCACGCCCCUUUAAUAAAUGAACUGACCCUGGGUUGCAUUCGCUCUGAAGCGGAAGUAUGCCCCUUUAUUGA